UACGUAGGGUGCAAGCGUUAAUCGGAAUUACUGGGCGUAAAGCGUGCGCAGGCGGUGAUGUAAGACAGAUGUGAAAUCCCCGGGCUUAACCUGGGAAUGGCAUUUGGGACUGCAAGGCUUGAGUGCGGCAGAGGAGACUGGAAUUCCCGGUGUAGCAGUGAAAUGCGUAGAUAUCGGGAGGAAUACCGAUGGCGAAGGCAGGUCUCUGGGCUGACACUGACGCUCAUGCACGAAAGCGUGGGGAGCAAACAGG
rnacentral:rRNA from 1 species